rnacentral:rRNA from 1 species
ACUCCUAGGGAGGCAGCAGUGGGGAAUUUUGGACAAUGGGCGAAAGCCUGAUCCAGCAAUGCCGCGUGAGUGAAGAAGGCCUUCGGGUUGUAAAGCUCUUUUGUCAGGGAAGAAACGGUGAGAGCUAAUAUCUCUUGCUAAUGACGGUACCUGAAGAAUAAGCACCGGCUAACUACGUGCCAGCAGCCGUGGUAAUACGUAGGGUGCAAGCGUUAAUCGGAAUUACUGGGCGUAAAGCGUGCGCAGGCGGUUUUGUAAGUCUGAUGUGAAAUCCCCGGGCUCAACCUGGGAAUUGCAUUGGAGACUGCAAGGCUAGAAUCUGGCAGAGGGGGGUAGAAUUCCACGUGUAGCAGUGAAAUGCGUAGAUAUGUGGAGGAACACCGAUGGCGAAGGCAGCCCCCUGGGUCAAGAUUGACGCUCAUGCACGAAAGCGUGGGGAGCAAACAGGAUUAGAUACCCCAGUAGUCCCAU